rnacentral:rRNA from 1 species
AUUGAACGCUGGCGGAAUGCUUUACACAUGCAAGUCGAACGAGACCUUCGGGUCUAGUGGCGCACGGGUGCGUAACGCGUGGGAACCUGCCCUUAGGUUCGGAAUAACGUCGGGAAACUGACGCUAAUACCGGAUAAUGUCUUCGGACCAAAGAUUUAUCGCCUUUGGAUGGGCCCGCGUAGGAUUAGCUAGUUGGUGAGGUAACGGCUCACCAAGGCGACGAUCCUUAGCUGGUCUUAGAGGAUGAUCAGCCACACUGGGACUGAGACACGGCCCAGACUCCUACGGGAGGCAGCAGUGGGGAAUAUUGGACAAUGGGCGCAAGCCUGAUCCAGCAAUGCCGCGUGAGUGAUGAAGGCCUUAGGGUUGUAAAGCUCUUUUACCCGGGAUGAUAAUGACAGUACCGGGAGAAUAAGCCCCGGCUAACUCCGUGCCAGCCGCCGCCGUAA